UGAUAGAGGCGCGGCCGCCAUCAGUAUCUGGAAGGCGAUAGUUUGGAAGACUGUCUUGCGGGGAAAGGGGCGUCCGCCGAAGAGACGGGAUGUUUCCAGGUCUUGUCUCUGGGACGCGGCAGAAGAUGCCGCGGACUGUCACAUUCGUGGAGCGCUAUCA
rnacentral:ncRNA from 1 species